GGAUUUAGCUGUAACUCGGCAAUCCACUCGGACUCCCCUCUCUGCUGUGGAGCAUUUCUUCUCUCUCUUAUUAAACUUUUGCUCCACCCCCACCCUUGUGUCCAUGCUCAAUUUUCUUGGACGCAGGACAAAGAAGCCAGGUACUAGUUCAGAGAACAAGAAACUGCUACAUUAUGGUGCAUUGGCAAAACUACAACAUAUUUAGGUGCAGGAAGAAGGGAUCAUCAGAAGGGUGAGUAAGAGCGGACCUCUACCCUUUUACUUUCAUUUCUGAGGUUUCUUGUCUAUUCCAAUCCAGUUUCCUUUCACAAAGGGCCCAGACAUUGCAUGGGAUUGGAAGGAGGUCCUAGGGCAACUGAAGGUUUCUGGCUGGGGCUACCCCUCAGUAUUAUCUCCAGUCCCCGACAGCCGUCAGGGUGCUGGCACAAGGACCUCCAGUCUUUUCCUACUGCAUUUUCCUUCUUUCUUUUCAGGGCUAUCAUGCCUCUUAUCCCUUCUUUCUAUGCAAUGUUACAGGUGUUUUUGCAUCCUAGAGACAGAGUCUUGCUGGGUAGAGUCAGUCCUGAUUACUAAGACACCAACUGACAAACACAACAACUCUUUGAGUUACAUUCCUGAUUACUAAGACAAAGAGUUGUUGUGUUUGUGAUUUCCUGGAGACAGGGUAAAUUCAAGAUCAGUUUAAAUUUUCACCUAGUAAGGGCUUUUUGUCCUCAAUGAUAGACACUGAUGGCACUAUAUAAGGGGAUAUUUCACCCCAAGUGAAUAUCCUCUUCCCUCUCCAUUUGGAUUGUUUCCUUCUCCUUUUGGGUUAUUUCUUCCCUCCACGUGAAAGCUCAGCACUGCCCAAUGAAUUUAAACAGUUUCUUUAUGAGACAAGUUAAUUUUAUUCCGCUGGGGACAGCCUAUUAAACCCCAAACCUCUCUAACUUCUGCCUGGAUAGAUGGAGUCAGAGUUUUUACCUAACAUCUCAGAUCCUACAGCGCCACCUAGUGGGAUGGGAUUUUUUUCUCCAUGGGGAGUCUUGCUGGCUGUUUGUCGAAAACCUCUAGUUCCUCAAUUCCCCUCCCUCCUAUGUCCCUCUAUUAGGGACCAGGCUCCAUGACCCAUCUGUAAAUAUCAAAGCUCCAUCUUUAACAGUCAAGAGGACAGCCAUUCAAUUCAUAUGUUCUUUUCUUUUUUUUUUUUUUUUUUUUUUUGAGAUGGAGUCUCGCUCUGUCGCCCAGGCUGGAGUGCAGUGGCGCGAUCUCGGCUCACUGCAAGCUCCGCCUCCCGGGUUCACGCCAUUCUCCUGCCUCAGCCUCCCGAGUAGCUGGGACUACAGGCGCCCGCUACCAGGCCUGGCUAAUUUUUUGUAUUUUUAGUAGAGACGGGGUUUCACCGUGUUAGCCAGGAUGGUCUCGAUCUCCUGACCUCGUGAUCCGCCCGCCUCGGCCUCCCAAAGUGCUGGGAUUACAGGCGUGAGCCACCGCGCCCGGCCUCAUAUGUUCUUUUCUGAGGCACCUGUUCUACAUCCAACUACAUUGGCAUUUAAACAAAAAGGGGAUUUUAUAUUUGGAAGUCAAUUGGUCCCAUUCUCUGGGAUUUCAAUGUUUCACUAGGGCCAUAGCAAGGGAAGCCAGAGAUAAUAUUAAAAGACUUCCUCCAUUCCAUUAAGGUGUCUUGCCCAAAUACAAUCUCUCCUGGACCCUUAGGGUACCCUGGGAACCUUAUGGGCAAAGUAGGUCUAGGAAACCAGCAAGGGUGAAGGGCCAAGGCCAUAAGCAGAUGAGCAUGACUAGUUAUGCUGACUAGCUUCUCCAGGACCAUAAAUGAAGGUCAUACUUGCAAACAUGGGGCGGCACCUAUGAAGGAUGGUCACUGGGACCCAAAGGACGGGAGGAAGGGGGUGAAGGGGGAUGCCCCUCCAGCCUUUCCCUCCAUCUUGGGUCACUCUGAAGAGAAGGAGACUGAGGGAUGCCUCUUCUCUUGCCUCUUUUCUACAUGGAUAACACCCCAUCUUCAAGUCUGCACUACCCCUGAGUGCAGCCUGGAUCUCCUUUAGUCCUCAGACCCUAAAGUUCACUCGGGGCAAGCCCCAACUUCACUGCCGUAUAGAGGCCUUCCAAGAUUUAACCCAAGUAUUUAAACUCUCCUGGAUGUUCCAGGGAUGGAGAAGCAAGUGGGGAAAAUACCAGUGCCCUUGGAGGACCAUAAAUGGGACCAUGAUGAUAGCAUCAGAAAAUGGGGAAGGAAACUCUUUCAAAUGUGUAUAUUGGAGAACUUGCAGGGGAUUAGAGCCAAACCUAUUAACUCUUCCAAGCUUUCCAUGAUAGUCCAAAAGCUAAAUAAAAAUCUUUAAACCUUUUUAUUCAAUAAAGAACAGGUUUAUUACUCAGACAGCCCUUAAUAUGGGAAGAAAGUUGCUGAAACAGGCCCUGUCCAAAGAUCUAAUUUUUCUCACCCUCGAGUUGAAACUUUGCAGUACAUAAAUAACACUCUCCUCUGUCCCCCAACCAAGGAAGUCUCAGGGAGGCACUGAGGCUCUCUUCAGUUUCUUAGCUGAAAGGGGAUAUAGGGUCUGAAAAUCUAAAGCUUGGCUCUGUCAGACUUCAGUAAAGUACCUAGGUCUAGUCUUAUCAGAAGGGACUAGAGCAUCAGGUGAAGAAAGGAUGCCCAUUUCCUUUAACAGUUGAGGGGAUUCUUAGGCAUUAGUGGAUUUUGCAGACUGUGUGUACCUGGAUACCGUGAAAUAGCUUGCCCUUUAUACCACCUCAUAACGAAACUCAAGCAGUUAAAACUCACUCACUAACUUGGGAACCUGCCUUUAACCAACUAAAGCAAGCCUUACUUAAAGCAUCAACCCCCAGUCUUCCCAAAGGAAAAGCAUUCAGUCUCUAUGCUUCAGAAAAGAAGGAAAUGGCCCUGGGAAUUCUGGCUGAAGCUUGAGGUCCAGCUCAACAGCCAGUGGGUUACCUAAGUGAGGAACUUAACUUGGUGGCUAAAGGCUGGUUAGCCUGCCUCUAAGCAGUUACAAUGGCAGCUUUGUUGGUGCCAGAGGCCACUGGGUUACCCAUGGGAAACAACUGUUUACAACCCAUACAAUAUAGCAGGAGUGCUGCCCUCUAAGGAAAGUCCCUGGCUAACAGACAAUCGCCUCCUUAACUAUCAAGCUUUGCUACUGGAGGGAUCUGUGGUCCAGAGGAAAACCUGCCCUUGCUAGAGCCGAGCCAUUUUCUCCCAAAGGAAACUGGAGAACUUGAACAUGAUUGUGAAAAGGUAGUGGUGCAAACCAGUAAAAGGAAUGAUGAAGAUCACUGUUUACAUUCUCUGUAAAAUUUUAAUUAAUGAGAAAGGAUUUUCUUAAAGAAUGCUCAGCUUACCUCAAAGUGGAUAUCCGAGCUAUGGGUAUAUGUAAAAGGCCUUUAUGUUUUUCUCUUCAUAGAUCUUGUUUUUCUGGAAAAGGUUUUUUGUUGUUGUUGUUUUUUUUCAGUCAACUGAAUUACUUUUUUCCACUGUGUCUUAUCAUUCUUGAUGCAUACGUGAAAGACCCUAGAAUGACUUCUGGUGGCCUGGGACUCCCUGGGAAAUAGAUUAAGGUGCCACAAAUCCCAUUUUGGAGAAAUCCCUGUUUUCCUCAUGGAACCCCUGGAAUUAGAGGUGGAUAAGCCCCUCUCAACAUCUGUCUUUGUCUUCUGGCUGUGCUUGUUUAUUAAGCCCUGAAAACUAUAUUCAUACCCCUGUUCGUAAAAGGGCUCCACCCUGAGCUGCUGGAUCUUCUUCUGUCUGUCUGUGUAGUCAUACAUGUGAUAUAUAUGUGAAGUCUAUAAAAAGGCCAAUUAAUUGGCCUAAGAAUAAUAAGCACUGAAAUAAAAUAUUUUGCAGUAAAAGUAAAAGCUGUGGUACCUUUCAGUUCAUAUGACUUUAAUAUUUAAAAUAAAAACAGACAAGAAUUAUUGGUAAAAUACAAACGUCUUCAAGGUGUAAAAAUGUGGUCUAAUUUAUUAUGCAGGUCAGAUACUAGCUUUGCUAAAUGUUUUAAGGUUGCAAACUGCUUCUUUGGCCUUUUAAAAACUGUCAACUUGCCUGCUUCACAAUUAGUAUGGUCUGGGAACAAAUAGAAGUGACCAUGCUCCUAACUACGCUGAAAGGAAUCAGACUUUAUCUGCAUCUAGCACAUAAUUAAAACAACUUACCAGGCUUUACAUUAAAGUUAAAAAUCGCUAAGAGUUACCAUUAUGACAUGUAAUUGAGACUACUGAACAUGGAUUUGCAUGCAAGGUGUGUAAAAACAGCAAAAUGUGUUUUUAGUUAAAAGAUUAUAAGAAGGCAUGGAAAUGUCCAUUUUGCCUAGAGAUAAAGGAUUGUCUUAAAUUAGAUAAAAUAAAGCAGAAGGUUUAAGCAAAUUGUGAAAAGACUGUAAAUAUUAAUCUUGCAAAGGAAACUAUGUGUGUGAACAUAUUGACUAAAUUCAAAAGGGUAUUAUAUAUUUUUUUCUGUAAAUUAAACUUUGAAAUAAAAGCACAACAAGGUUUUCUUACGAUGCUGACCUACUCUUCAGCAAAACUUGUAAAGGGUUAUAAAAUAACCAUACAAAAAAAUGUAUGUAAAAAUCUCACCUCAUGGUCAAACUGGUUAAGAUUGAAUAGGAUUGUCUAUAAGGCUUCAUUAAAAACUGGGGUUAACAUUAAUAGUAGACUAAUGCAAGGGUAAAUUUGGCUCUCUAUUCAUGUAGUAAUAAGGGCUAAUGAAAAGGUUUUUUUUGUUGUUGUUUUUUUUUUCAAAUUUUUGAGUCAUUGUUUUGGCAAAACAAAUGACUUAUGGUAAAAUUUUAUUUCAUAAUAUCCAGUGUUUUAAGCCUCUAACAUAUUUCACAGGCUUCCCAAAAUUAAACUUCAGUCUCAAGGUUGUCUUUCCUGGCCCCUUGCUUUUGGGUGCUACAAAGGGUCCCUGGAGCAUGCUGAAGAGAGGUAAACAGGAUUAUUUAACAUGUUUAGGUACAUGGGAUUGCCAAAAUGAGGUCUAAUAUUCUUCAGGUUAUGUUUUAGGGAAAAAUAUUAACAUAUGUCCAAAAUUGUAUGGGAUGUCUAAGGUUCUAAUGUCUGAAUAUUUGCUAUCAAUCACAAUUAAGGUUGUUAUGUUGGGUUAUUGUAUGCCACAGAAAUAACCAAAUUUGUCAAUCAUGUUCUUGACUGUAACCACCCUGGACAUUUUGUCAUUUACAGACAAUUGUUGUCUUAUUUUAAUCUUCUUCAAAAAAUGGUUUAUAAUCACUGUGGAACUUUAAUAGGUACUCUUGAAUGCAGGUUUCUGAUAAUAGAAAAAUGUAAAGGACUCAUGAAAAGCUGAAAUGUUUACAAAUAUUAAGCAGAACAAGAGUUAAUGGAAUGGACUAACCUAAUAGAAAACUAAACGAAUCUUUUUGAUUUUUGCUUUGAACACUGCUAAUUCUUGUUUUGUUUUUCAGAGUCAAGGAAACUUUCUUUCAAAUUAGCUAGAGCUUUUAACAACUAAGUAAGGUAUACUCCUGUGAACAAAAUUUGGAACAUGUUUGUUUCUCUCUGCCUGGUUUCUCUAGAAUUCAGAAACUGGUUGUAAGUAUUCUUGACUUAUAACAAUAUAGUUGUUUGCAUCAGCGCAAUAAGAAUCUACUUUAUUUUGCAACAAAACACAAUUGGAAAAACUCGUUGUUUUACCAAGGCUUUGACUGAAAGGGUGUGUUUCCCUUUAAAGAGUCAAGUUCGACUUGCAGAGCCAGUAAAAGCCUCCUGGAAAACCGGCCUCAUACCUUGUCUACACAGCCCCUGUACAGGGUUCCUAACCUGUGAGGCCAUCAAGCUCCAAAUGGUAAAGUAAAUGGAACCACACAUUAAACGCACCUUUUUUCUGAGGACCCUUAAACCAGCCUCGGGAGGAAUCCUAGCUGCUGUUCCUCACACAAUGCUCCUCUCCAGCAAGAAAUAGCCAGAAAGAUCAAUGCCCAAUCUCCCUAACAGCAGUUAGAGUUCCCACUUCUGAAGUGGGGAAUGAGGGUGAGGGAAAAGAAAAAAUCAGUUGGGGCAAACUUACAGUGUAGAAGCGGUCUGCCUGAAAAGUCACAGCAAUGGGCAAAAACAAAACAAUCUGGGACAAAAACUCAGGCUGCACCUGCACACAGAGAAGCAGACAGCGUCCAGAAAAGAAGCCGUUUGUUCUUCGUAUAAUUAGCAAGCUCCCAGGAAAAAGUUUCCUCCCCUUUUGAGGCAUAUACAUGGUGGGCUCCACAGAAACUUGCACAGGGAAGACGGGGGCUUACCUAAAACAAACCCACAGUUAUACAGAAAAGAGAAGUGGCGCUUUGUGCUUGCCUAGAGACAUACCCACAGCUGCAUAAGAUAAGGGGAGUUGCACAGACAGCUUUACUGAUAGGAGAAGUUACUCAAACUGCUACAGAGAUGAGAAGAGUUUCUUAUAAAAGCUUCUGGAGUCAGCUGUAACUCGGCAAUCCACUCGGACUCCCCUCUCCGCUGCGAAGUGCUUUCUUUCGCUUAUUAAACUUUCACUCCACCCCCACCCUUGUGUCCAUGCUCCUUAAUUUUUUUGGAUGCAGGACAAAGAACCCCGGGUACUUGUUCAGACAACGAGAAACCGCUACUUUAAGGUGCACUGGCAAAACUGCAACAGAACAAGUUAAGUCCACAUGGCUCCACAUUCUGUGGAGGAGGACAUGUUCCUCUUCCACAGAAAAGGGAAGUAGAAGCUCUUCUACUAGGGAGAGGUAGGAAAUCUGGAGGGAACAAGGGGAUAGAAGGUAACAAAAGCAGAUGAAGGAACGGAUUUGUGCGCAGCCUCCAUUUCCCAGCUUUGGAGGAGACUAUCCAAUAGAAGGUGGUUGCCAUGUGAAAGAGAAACCAUGCUGAAGUGUACUUGGGCAGGAGACCUAGAGACAACUUCCCUUUCCACAUCUGCUGUGCAGUCUCCCUUGGCUGUAGGGUGCAGCCAGGGAGCCCAGACGUUUCCACAUGCUUCCAGUGGGGAACAUGGAUGGUAGCUAAGAGUUGAGAGCCAGUGGCCUGCCAGGGGUCACAGUAAUAAGGAAUAGGAUGACAUGUGGCAACUCUAUGGGAUGGAAGGCUUAAGACACGACAGGCUCUUGUAGACAAGCGGGCUUCAGAGGAUCCACAGUACCAGUGAGGGCCAAAAUGGAGAUAAGUCCCCAUAGUGGGUCUGGUGAGGAAAGGACCGUUGGUCCCAAAGGCAGCAAGAGAACUGAAUAGAAGUUACUGCAGCAGGGGUUCCUUCAGCAGCAGAUGAAAGGGUGCCAGUAUACCCGGGAAGACAGGCACACCUACCCAGAACCAGGAGGAGGCAGCAGAGACAGAGGUAAGCAGGCCAGAACCAUCUAAAACAUGUUCCUCAAGGGUGCACAAUCCUCCUGUCACCAGGAUGCUAGAGAGAAAAGGAAGAGAGGAAAAGAGACCCUCUGGAGCACAGAAACAGCCCAGAGAGGGAGUCUGAAUUUUGGGCCGACUGGAUUGGACACUUAUCCCAAAUGAAAGCUUCAGCCCAACACAAAUUGAGCUACCUUCAAUUACAAGCUUUCAUUUGCCACCGUCAACCUGAAGGCAGGAUCUUAAAGUUUAGCUCUUUUCUGGUUUGUCACUGUGAGAUGAAGCCACUGGGUAGAGCACACAGAAGUAGUAUUUAUAAUACACAAAGCCUUGCUAUUAAGAUUUAGUAAGAAAGAAAUGCCCAUUGUAUUGAGGUAAAACCCCCUAUUCUGCAUCAUUCCUCUCACUUUACUGGUGUAGAAUUUGUAAUAAGUUCUAAUAAGAAGGACAACAUUUAAAUGGAUGGGCCCUGAUAUAUAUUUUUGACUAAUUUCUCCUCUUUGGUAUCUCAUUUCCCAAGAAAGCUUUAAAAUCCUCUAACACCAAGGACAGUACUGGUUCAGCUACAUUGUAGAACUGCUCUGAUCACAUAUACUCACAUUCAGAUUACAGGCUUGCAAUGAUUAGAGUUAUUCUUAGAGUAAUUUUACAGAAUAUUUUCAGGGUAGCUAUCUGGGUCAGGUGCUUGGCAUUAGCAGAAAAUAUGAGAAUAAUGAAUUUCCAUAGUGAUUUUCCAAUAACUUAAAAAAUAGAUUUCAAAAAUAAAAAUGAAAUGUCUCACUUGCAUUUUCUCUGUAUCAGCUAUGUUUUUAACAUCUGUAGUUUAAUAUAAAACCUUGUUAUAUUUAGACUUCAUCAAUAAAUAAUAUCUAAUUCAGCAGACUAUGAAAAACGUAACAUUUUGAGGCUGCGAGUCCCUGCACUCAAUAUACACUAUCAUUAAUCUACAAUAAUGUGUGUGUGCAUGCUUUUGUGUAUUUGGUGUGUGGAAGUUACUCAUCUCUCGCUCCUCUUAAAGGUUGUUUCUUACUUUUAGACCAUUCACUAGGAGUCUCAAGACAAAGAGUCAUUUUUGAUUCUCUCCCCUUAAUUCUGAAGUAAAUAUAACCAGGAAGAUUCUUUAGGCAUAGGAAACAAAUCCUCAAUUUGAGAAACACUGAUUUUUUUUAACUAUCCUUUUUUUUUUCCUUUUUAUUGAGACAGAGUCUCGCUCUAUCACCCAGCUGGAGUGCAGUGGCAUGGUCUUGCCUCACUGCAACCUCUGCCACCCGGGUUCAAGUGAUUCUUGUGCCUCAGCCCCCCGAAGAGCUGGGACUACAGGUACGCGCCACCACACCUGGCUAACUUUUUUGUAUUUUUAGUAGAGACAAGGUUUGGCUAUGUUGGUCAGGCUGGUCUCGAACUCCUGACCUCAGGUGAUCCAUCUGCCUCAGCCUCCCAAAGUGCUGGGAUUACAGUCGUGAGCCACCAUGCCCGGCCUCCAUUUUUAUUUUAUAAUAAAUUGAGGACCUUUCCUGCUUUCAUCUAAAACCUCUUUUGCUCAUUUUCAUCAUAAAAGGAAGUGGAAAAAUGCUUACAAUUUAUAAGAAACAGUGCUGACACUUGAAUAUGUUACUAAUGUAGAAUACAAAGUUUAAUUUAGCAUUCAGAAAUCAAUAUACAUUUUCAGUGAAAAGACAGUUUAUCACUUGAUAUAGUUUGGAUGUUUGCCCCCCACAAAUCUCAUGUUAAAAUGUAGUCCCCAGUGUUGGAGGUGGGGCCUGGUGGGAGGUGAUUUGAUCGUGGGGGCGGAUUUCUCAUGUUUAGAACCAUCCUCUUGGUGCUCUCCUCACAACAGUGAGUUCUGGUGAGAUUUGGUUGUUUAAAAAUGUGUAGCUUACCCUCCACUCUCUCUUGCUCUCAGUCUCACCAUGUGAGACCUGCUCCCCCUUUGCCUUCUGCCAUGAUUGUAAGCUUCCUGAGGCCUCCCCCAAAGCCAGGCAUAUGUCAGUGCCAUGCUUGUACAGCCUGCAGAACCAUGAGCCAAUUAAACCUCUUUUCUUCAUAAAUUACCCGGUCUCUGUUAUUCCUUUACAGCAAUGCAAGAAUGGCCUAAUACGUCACUGUUAAACCCAGUUAUCAGAAUCAAUAGACUGAGGGGAGUGAAUUUUACCCAAGUGUUCAGUUUCUAUGGACACUGGUUGGAAUGACACAAAGUAUGCUCCUUGGGAACACAGUAUGGUAGAUUUUAUUCCAUACAGUGCAUUACACAUAGCAAAAUAAAAAAUCUAAGCUUCGAAAGAAAUUUAUAGAUUAAAAUUCCUCAUUAUCCCUCUCUGGAAAUGCCCCAUUUUGUCAACAUCUUUCCCAAAAAGGACUGCUACAAUAAUUCAGAUGUGGACUGGACAAUAUAUGAGAUCAACGCUACAACUCUUAGUCUGGAUAUAAUUCCUUUAAAAGUAUAAUCUAAAAUUAUAUUGGCACUGUAUUUUUGCAACUAUAUCAUAUUGCUAUCUCACAAUUCCCUAAAAUUUUUCUCCCCAAAUUACUGUUAAGUCCAAUGUUUCCCAUUUUAUAUUUCAGCAGUUGAACUUAGUAUAAAAUACCAUGUUUACAUUUAUUGCAUUUUAUAUUGUUGGUUUAGGUGCAUGUUCCAGCAGGUUCUGCCCUCUUUGGUUUUUGUCAUUUGUUGUGUAUAACCAUCCCUCCCAGUUUUCUAUGUUGAAAAUUGGACUAAUAUGAUUCCACUUUAUCUACUGUUUAUAUGGAGGAAUAUGAGGUCAAAUACUGUUUUAAAGCUAUGUGUUUUCCCUGAGAGGUUGAUAUCACUCCAUUUAUCAAUUUCACCUAAUUGCACUAUCAUUCAAACUAUAUUUAUUUCUCUUCUCCACGGGGAUCUGAACACUUUACUCAAAUAUCUUGCUAACUCACACUGCAGGAGGUAUCUAUCACACAGUCUCCUGGUCUACUAAGGUAAACACAUGUCUUCUUUUAGGUGUAGCUGUGACUUUGGUCUGACUCUUUUUCAUAGCCCCAUGCUGGUACCUAGUGAUGGCUACUUUUUAAAUAUGUUUAAAUGAUCUCCCUUAAAUACUGUGUAUCAGUGACAAGUUUCCAAGAACAAGUUUUCUCUCUCCCCUUUGAAAAAUAUAAGGUAGUAUUUUCCCACCUCCAGUUUCCUAAAAUUUCUCCUCUUCUCUCCAGUACCUGAGGAUUACUGACAGUACUUCCUCUCAAACUCAUCUGGCAAGUUCCUCAAUAGCUGGUGCUGUAAGAGGCUUUAAAGGCUUUAACAAAUCUAGUGCACUCUUAAGAUGUCAGUUAUAAUACUUUCAAUAUGGAAAUCACUCCUGCAGAUAACUAAGAAGGAAACAAAAAAGUAUUGCACAUCUGUCUUUCUUCUCAUACGUUAAAAUCAUAUAAUUUGCCCUAAUAAUCUGCCUACUCUUUGCUUUUUCAUUAUUUUACUCUGAACAGAAUUUAAAGCAAUUUUUUAAUCGUUGCAGACAACACUUGGAAUACAUAUCUAGAAUGUCUCCUGUUUUUCUGAAAGCUGUUCCAUCACUUGGCCCUACUGAGGUCCCCUUCUCUAAGAAUCUCCUUAAACAGCAGUUCCCAAGAAAAAGCAACCAUGUGACGUCAUCCCUAGGCCAUCAAAAUGGACUCAGAGUGCACACCUGUUUGAGAAGUGCCAAUCAGAGUCCUUCUCUGCAAACUCUGAGCUUCUGGAACUCUUGUUGGUUUCUACUAGGCUCUUGCAUUGUCAGGCAAGGACUGGACAGCUAUUUUCAUGCAGAAGCAGAGAGAAAGAAGUAGAGAUGAGAAUUCAUGAACUCUGAGAAAGACAGAGCAUGUGACUUUAGUUCUCAACUUUUCAGUUUGUACUUCCGAGUCUCCCACAGCCACCAUGUGUACUUCCUGACCUUGGGUUCUAUGAGAUACUCAUAUAUCCUUUCAACUAGUAGCUCGCACCACCCCGCUCCACAUUUUUUUGUUUAAGGUUAAACUAGUUAAACAGAUUUGUUUAUGGGCAAAUAAUCCAUGUCUAAACGCUACACUUGAUAUUUUUGUAAAUUUUAGUUUAUUAUAUAUUAAUGAACUAAGAGUUAAACUGAGAGCUUUUCACUAAGUUUUAAUCAAUCAAUCUAUCAAUCAAUCUAUCUAUCGUCUCUUUAAAUUUGAGAUUAUUGGAGAUCUUCCUCUAUGGUCAUUGUUGAAGUUACAGGAAGGUAAGCUAGAGACAGAGAUGGUACUACUUGGAAGGUCCUAAAAAUUGUUAUAAAUAUGCAAAAUUAAUUAAACUUAAGAGAAUUACACAUGCUCACCAAACAAGAAGCUGAUACAUAAAAUACUGUUUGAAAUGAGAAAAAAAAAAUUUUCAUGCAACCUAGUCAUCACUGGAAACUCUGCCUGCAAACUCUGGUCACAAUGAGAAGGUUGCUUGGCAAACACAGAAUCUGUUUUAAUGGCUGAUGCCUUACAGUUUUGAAGCUCCCUGCUUCCUCCUCCACAAUAGGGUGUGCUGAACAGACUAAAUUUAUACUGACUGACUCAAGCUCCCUCUCUGAUGGAUAGCUAGUGGUACAAUAAUCACAUCUUUUCUUAGGUUCCCUUAUUCUAACCCCCAUGUAGACUAUUCUUUUCUUGAUAAUACUAUAUAUUCUUUAUUUUAACUAGACAAAAUAAAACUGUGGUUAUAGUUUUUUAUUUAAUCAUUUUCUCAAACAAUGCCUCAAUUCCUUGAAGACUUUCUCUUCUUUUCCUUGGCUAAUAGAGACUCUAAGAUAACCUAGUUACCUUUUUCCAAUGUUAUUAUCAAUCAAUCCCUGUGAAGGUCAAAAUUAAGCCUAUAAUUCUACCUUAUCAUCUCCAAGAUUAAAAUGUCAGCAAAACUAAUCAUCAGAAGUUCUGCUCUUAGCCAAAACAGCAUUUUCAUGUAUUAUGUCAAAACUCAAUACAUACUUGUUGAUUUGAUUCCAAAAAUUUUCCUGGGACUACUCCUUUGUCACACGAGUACUAUAUCACAGAACAUUACCCACUGUCCUCAUUAAUGAAUUAAAUAUUAAUGAAAAGGGGAAUAAAAAAUGUUUACUUGUUGCUCUAUUUAAGGCUGAAAGUCAAAAUCAAUGCUCAUGGAAUUAAUGGAUGGGUCUGCCUUUCAGGAUGAAACUAGAUAAUUAAGAAAGUAUGGCUGUUAACUACAAUCCUUGCUUUGGAGUGUACUGUAUGGUGCCAUAGUUGGAAGGUAGGACCCAUUUUUGAAGGUAGCGCCAGUUGGUGGCUUUAGCUCAUCAUGCCCAUAUCCCUAUCAGGUCCACCCCUCCCAAUCAGCUCAAUCUAAAUAAAACAGUGUUUGCCAUGUGUGUAGGGUUUUAAGACAAGCAUCCCUAGUUCCUAGCAGGUUACUGCAUCUGAACUUUUCCUGGGACAGAUUUCAUUUUCUGAGGCAGAGAGUUGAGAUGCAUAGAUUUAUUUCAUGUCUAAAUAAUCAAUGGGUUUGGAGGAAAGUGGACCAUUGUUAGCAGAACAGCAGGGCUAGUACCAGAAACUUUCCACCUUACCAUGGCUGAAUCCUAGGGCUGGAAAGCUACAAAAAGAGCUCAUAAAAACUACUGCUGCACGUAGCUCAUGAAACAAAGAGCUGCACCAUGAUCUGCCAGACCACUUGUGGCCUUCUCUGACCCACAGCUCACUGAAAAGCUUAUAUUUGUGUUUAUUUCCAUUUUCUCUACUCUGCUGUGAGGUAGCCAGUUUCCUGGCACUCCCAUAGUCUGUGGGAUGCAGCUGUCCAGGUGUUAUCAUGACAACACCUUUCUUAUCUCAGUUCCCCACUCAGAGCUCGGCUGCCAGUGAUCCUCAAACACAGUAACGGUACGGUUAGAAUUCACGAAGGAAGCCAGAGGCUUCUUAAAGGUCACAUCGUCAUUGGACCAUUCAGCUUGCAGUCUCUACUAUAACCUUAAAUAAUGUGUAUAAACUCUGGGACAGAAACGUUCGAAUACAGUUUUAGAGAACACCUCAGUCUCAGCCAUCCCCUGAUGCUCCUCCUCACUUAGUGUCCUAAUGAGCCCCCAAAAAUGAGAAAGUUAUGCUCCCCAUGUUGAGAUACCAUGAGAGAAGAUGUAGGUGAGAACUUCACAGCUGACAGUUGUUAAGAGUGGCUGCAUGGGGAUGACUGUAUUUCCUUUUGGUGAGGACAUUAGAGGCGUCAGGUCCUAUGACCGUGGAGUCACUAAGCACUGGCUGCAAGAGCAGCAGAGGAGACGACAGCAGUGAGCCACAGAGAAGGCACAUGAGCAUCCAUGAGGAAUCCAACAGGAUCCAUUCCCAAGCAUAUGUUCAACAUCCCCGGCUGACUCCCAGAACUAGUUGUGAAUUUGAGGGAGUUAAAAUUCUAGCAGAGUAGAUAGUAUUUAAGCCAAAUAAAUGGUGAUUUUGCUAUUAGUUAUUGUGAUCUCCUUUUAUCCCAGACUGAGGCAAUGCAGUUCUAAUAGCUCUGCUAUUAGUUUCAAAGCACUUUAAUACAUGUUAUCUCAUGUGAGUUUCACAGUAACCCUGUGAAAUAGAAAGGGCAGGCAUUAUUAUUAUUAUUCAUUUUAUAUAUAAAGAAACUGAGGCUCUGUUAGGUUAUAUGAUUUGCUUAAAGUCACACAGUUAGUGACAGCAGCAAGAUUUAAAAAUGAAUCCUUUGACUCUAAUUUGAAGGCUCUUUCCUUAAACCUACAAGUUUACUAAGAAUUACACACAAAUAUAUGCUUAAACAACAUACAGGAAAAUAAAUUCCUUAUUUUCACCCAAUACCCAGGAAAUACAUGGCCACCAACAAAAUGACUGCACACAGCUCAGAGAAUGUCAGUUUAAUUUUAAAGGUUGAGGAUACUAACUAUGUUAUGGAAAAUUAAGAAUACUGAACUAUGUCUUUUGGGUAGCUAUUUUCAAAUUUUCUUUUUUUGAAAAGGAAAACAUACUCAGACAGAUGUAUCCAGUUAAUGAUUUGAAAUCUCAAACCACAAUUUAGAGAAAAAAAAUCUGGCAGGGAUUCCUAGGACUGGACAUAUGUUCUUGUAUAUUUCUUCAAAACUCCCUGGGAAAGGAAAAAAAGAACAUUUCACAGUGUAAGCCAUAUGUUUAUAGCUAUAUUGGACUCUCAUUUCAAAUAUGAGCUUACAUGCCAUAUUCUGUGUUACAGAAGUACCAGCUUAUCAAACACCAAUAUAUUUGAGCUGAAACAACAGGAGUAAGGAUCAACAUUGGGCACCAUGCAUGGAUGUAUAGAUAACUUAACAGUCUGAGCAAAUAAAGGUCUGCAUUUUUGACUUAGUUAUUAACUUAUGCUACACCUUAUUCCACAAGGACUUUGAGCAGCUUACAAAGACACACAGAAUAAAACAGUAUUACAAAAGUUAAAAAUAGAAGGAGGGAAAAAGAUGGAUAAAGAAAGAAUGAGAGGAAAAAGAAGGAGGAAUCAAGAAUGAGGUUUUAGAAGUAUAUACCAGAGGGUCAAGGGCUCCUGUGUGCACAGUUCUGGGGUACGACUGACAAUGAGCACACUAUGAACGCACCACCCCAAGUGAGUAGCAUGGUGGGUUGGGUAUACCAAAUACUUCUUAUGGGUAAAUCACAAUAUUGGCUUGAAUUUUCUAGCAAGAAAACCUGGUGAGGUCUGUGUUUAACAAACCAGUUGUUCAGAAGAAGUACAAUAUUCAUGGCGUGAAGAUCGGAUGGGAUUUUUUGUUGUUGUUUUUAAACAACAACAACAGGGGCCUCCUUAUGGUAAACACAGUAAAGAGUUUCACUGUGCUGUUUUCCAUAAAGACUUCAAUGGAGACCAAUGGCAUUGUACCAAGGUGCAAGUCAGUAAAAAACAGUUGUGCAGAGAACAAGUUGGGAAUUUAAGUUCAACACAGAUUUGAAAAUCACACUUUACAAACAUUCCUUAAAAUGUUUAUUGAGUCAUCUCUCCCAAUCCAUGUUUCAUCACUCAGUGAGUGAUUAUAUGCCUUCUCGAUGUACUCUAAUUACAAUGAGGAAAUGACAUCAACCAUAUGGAGGACUUACAUUUCCAAAAGCAAAUUUCAACACUGUUAAUGACUGAAGAGGUACAGUCUUACAGUAGCAGCAUGAUAACUUUAGGCUGGAGUUAGUAAAUAAUUUCUCAAAAGAGAAUUGUUAGAUAUUACAGGAUUGGUUGCAAGACAGGUUGUAAUAUUUACUUACAGAAGUCUUAAACAUUGAUAGUAAUGGCCCUAUAGCAAAAUGAAGAGAUGUACUAGAUCGUUUUUUGAAGACCCUCUCCACUGUAAAACAAAUAUGGAAAAGAGUAUGUAAUAUACAACAGUUAACAUUUAUUAACUCACAGAACAGACAUUUUCUGGGGUUAGUAAGAAUAUAUGUUGGCUACACUUAGUAAUUUAUCUUGUUAAAGAUAUUAGGAAACAAGUAGUUCAUUAGCAUAUAAUUGAUACAUAUGAGAUGUUUAAAAACGUUGUAAAGGAGAAAAUUUGGUAAUACUAUUUCAAAAAAUUAUUGCGGUAGUCUACCUCAUUUCCGGAAUCAAUUGAGUUAUCUUUACUUAUCUUUUUACAUCUCUGCUUCAUUGUAAUUUUCCAGAAAAUCAAAUCUUUCUGAGGCGAGUGAGUCACGAAGAGUGAGUUGAAGUUAGUUAUCAAAUAGUUUAUGGCUCAAAGAUGGGAUGGAAUUAUAACAACUGAGAUGGUAUGUUAAUUCUCACUCUGAAAGAGGCAGAUGCCAGAAAAUCUCAAACCAAAAUUUUAGAAAACAUUUUAGUUCACUUAAAAUCUGGCAGGGAACCCAAUGACUUAACUCAUGUGAACACUGCAUGUAAGCUAUGGUCAACUGUCAUCUUGAAAUAGUAUCAGUUUGUUGCAUUCUCUCUUGAGAGUCCCUCAAUUUCUAAUGGUCUACAGAUAGUCCAUAUACAGGGGGAGACCAUUACCAAAGGAGACAAAAAAAGAGAAAAAUGGAAAAGGGCAAAACAAAUAUAUUCUGUAUGAAGUGGAAGCAGUGAGGGACAGGGAUGGAGAGCAGAGGAGAGACUCCAGAGUUGACAAAACACUACCAAGUAAAAGGAACCAGUUAUUAAUCCUUUGAUUUAGUGAUUCCACUAGGAAUUUGUCCUCUUGAAAUAAUCAAUGAUGGGCACAAAGACUGAGCCAUAAGCGGGUUCCUCACAGCAUUGUUUACAAUAGUGAAAACCUGAAAAUAAUCCAAAUGUCCCAAAAUAAAGGAUGGAUGAAAUAAAUUGUGGUCAUCCAUGCAGCAGAUCAUAUAGCUAGCAAAAUGGUGUUGCACAAAAAAUAUUUAAAGAUACAUAAAAAUGUGUAAAAACAAUUUUAAUAAAAUUUUAGAAAUAAUAUAUAACAUCUAACCUCAUCUUUUAAAAUGACCUCAUAUUUUUAAAAUAUACUACUUGGGGCCAGGCACAGUGGCUCACAUCUAUAAUCCUAGCAUUUUGGGAGGUUGAGGUGGGUGGAUCACCUGAGGUUAGGAGUUCGAGACUAGCCUGGCCAAUGUGGUGAAACCCCAUCUAUACGAAAAAUACAAAAAUUAGCCACGCCUGAUGGUGCACACCUGAAAUCCCACCUACUCGGGAGUCUGAGGCAGGAGAAUCACUUGAACCCAGGAGGCAGAGGAAGUUUCAGUGAGCUGAGAUCCCACCACUGCACUCCAGCCUGGGCAACAGAGCAAGACUCUGUCUCAAUAAAUAAAUAAAUAAAUAAACAAACAAACAAACAGUUUAACAUAAAUAUAUGUAUUACUUGGCUGGUAGGAUUACAGGUGAUUGUUUUUACUUUCUUCCUUUAAAUAUUCUACUAAACAUAAAUACUUCUUUCCUUUUUUCAAAAUAUUUAAAGUUGCUACUUAAGACAACUACAAGUGAAUGGAACAUUACUCUGGCAGCUUCAUAAUCAGCAAACCCCUGGGCAAAAAAUCUAGCCUGAUACCUUUAUUCUCAUAAAAAAUAAUACAUUAAAGCUUUCCCCAGAACAACAAUGUCAACUUACUAACAGAAUUAGACCAAAUUUUCGUAUUCACUUUGCAGAUGGCUUUGCUGAAAAUGCAUCUAUUCUAAAAAGCAAGGGCAUAUUUUAAAAAUCAUUACUAUUUAUACCCAUUCUCAUUUUGAUUCAAUAGGUUAAUUGAAAGAUUUGCAAAUUAUACUGAGGGGAACUUUGUGCUUCGUUGCUGCCAGUUUUUUCCCUUCUGAUAUCAGCUGGUUAUUCCAUCUAAUAUAUAGUCCUUCUAGAUAGCUGUCAUACUGAUAGAGCAGGAGCCUGCACAGAAUGCAGCUGCCAAGAAGACUGCUGUUUCUCAGAGGGCUGCAGCAGCUAAAAGCAAAGAUAAAUGUGCUUAAGCGGGAAAGGAAAACACAAACAAAGAUACAAGAGCUCUGCUGGAAGAAAUCUUUUACAAGGGCCAGUUGCCAACUUUUGGUGGUUUAUAAAUCCAAAGAGGAAAGCCAGAGCUUCUGAAUUCCAGUAUAAUGUUCCAAAUAUUACUGAGUAAAUAUGUUUAAUUAUCACCACUUUAAAGCAUUUCAUGUGGAGGAAAAAUUAUAUCUUUUGAUGAAAAAAAUCCAUCAAAAACCUUAGAAAUCCUAAAUACUCUGAAGCAAUUGAGAUAGGCGUCCAAGAUUAGCUUCACAGCACUGACCUCUAUGGUGAUCUUGAAUACGAAAGCCUUCAUAAAAGAAAGGAGGCUGUUUCCACAGCUUCCUCAUUACCUAAGGUAUUGGAAUGCAGAACAUCAAUUAUCCCCUAAAAUAUUCCCCAAAACACUUGUCACAAAAACAAGCAUUUUUUUUUCAAUCUUCAAAACUCAAGAUUUCAUAGGAGCAAUUUGACUGAAUCCCUCAGGUACCUAAUGUCUCAUUUUCUGAAGCUGAUGUCAAUCUGCUAUAUCUUUAUUCUGGAGAGCACAUGCAAUUACAAGGGUUAUUGCCACAGUUUAAAGGGAAAAACAUUUCCCCUGUACCUCCAAAUUAUCCCACUUUAAUUUCAAAGAUUUCCCCAUGAAAUCAUCCAUAUCUUCACAUAUUGCCAAUAAUAAUUGCGCUAUACUUCUGCAGAAUGGUUAAAACCAGUGGCUAUGGGUCCAAGUACACUUGAUUAUCUUUUUAUAUUUUUCAGGUUCUAGAAAUAUGCAUACAUUUAUAUCAUCUAGUUCUUUCUUCACAGGACUUUUGUAAACGACUUCUCCCACAAUCAGCUGAUGAGGUGGGGUGUCUCUAGUUUUACUGGAUAUGAAACAUCCUAGCAUCAUGACUGCAACUUUUGAUCCUCAAGAAGCAUUCCUUUUCCUGCAUGAUUAUAAAAUUGGACUUUAUGGCCGUGGUCUAUCGGAGUUUGUUGUAUAUUUCUUUGAGACCAAGAUUGAAGUAAGAAACAGGUGCAAUGACUACUUGGAAAGAAUUUAAAUUACUUCUGUUGAGGAGGAGGAGGAGGAGGGAAGAUUAAAUCUAAAAUUAUUAAGUAUUCCUGAAAAAAGUCAAAGCUAGUUACCAGGAUAUUAAAUAGAUUCAAUACAGCAUCCAACCAUUUAGGAAAGGUGAUGCACUUGGGGCCUGAGGAUAUGAUACUAUCACAUUUACGUGGUCAUAAGGACCUUUGAAAUUCAGAUUAGGUCUGCUUAUCAGCAGAGACUAUUUCAGCACUAAAUCUAAUAAAUAUUCCAAUCAGUGCAAAAGACCUCCUGUGUUCCAUAGCUCAUGUCACUAACUGCAGCAGCUUCUGUUGGGUACACCUUGGCAUGAUUCCAGCUGCCUUCCCAAGCCCAUUUUAGCAGUUAGGUAUCUAUAAAAGGAGGUGGAAGAUAAAGUGGGGAGGGGUGGGAAGGAGCAAGGAAAGAUGAAUUAUGGGCGGAACAUAUAAUAAUAACUCGGCCACUUUAUUUCUAUUCCUUAAAUGGAAAAACAAAAUUUGAUGCUUUUUGGUCUUCACAUUUCUAAAAGCCAUUAUCAGAUUUCAUUUUUGAAAUAAAUUAACAGACAAAAAAUAUUUUGUUUUGUUCUGUGCCUCUGUUGUCUGAGUGCCCCUAUAAUAAGACAUGCUUAUCUGACAAACAUCAGAGGAGCCAUGCCCCUCUGAGAAACAUCUUCACUGUUACUGAGAUUUGGGUUUAUUAUAAUGGGGUACUGGGCAUUUUGCCCACUAACUAUAUAGUAAAUAUUUCUGUGAUUAACCUGAGCCCCAUACUAAAUAUACAAAAAUUCAGUGGCUCCUUAUUAUUUGUGGAUUCUACGUCCACAAAUGUGGAUUGCAAUUGGAGAUGCCUGAUGGGCAUGCACACGAGGAUGUUCUGUUUCUUGUUUCUGCUCAUAGAGUAAACAAGUGUCCGGGUGCGGUGGCUCACGCCUGUAAUCCCAGCACUUUGGGAGGCCAAGAAGGGCGGAUCAAGAGGUCAGGAGAUUGAGACCAUCCUGGCUAACACGGUGAAACCCCAUCUCUACUAAAAAUACAAAAAAAAAAAAAAAUUAGCUGGGCGUGGUGGUGGACGCCUGUAGUCCCAGCUACUCGGGAGGCUGAGGCAGGAGAAUGGCGUGAACCUGGGAGGCAGAGCUUGCUGUGAGCCAAGAUGGCGCCACGCCUGGGCUACAGAGCGAGACUCCAUCUCAAAAAAAAAAAAAAAAAAAAAAAAAAACGAGAGAGAAAACAAGUGUCCUAUUUGCAGUUUGUUUGGUGCCACAGAUUUUCUCAUUUUUGUGCUUUUAGUUGGUAAUUUUGCUGUUUAAAACAGCCUCCCGAGAAUAAUGUCAGUGUGCUACCUGGUAUCCUAAGCACAAAGAUGCUGUGCUGUGUCCUGUGCAGAAAAUCCACGUGAGACAAGCUUUGUUUGGGUGCGAGUUACAGUGCUAUUGGCCCUGAGUUCAAUGUAAACCCAUCAACGUUAUAGGUAAAAUAAAGUGUCUUUAAAUAGAUACAUGCCUAAAACAAGGUUAGGUUGGUGCAAAAGUAAUUGUGGUUUUUGUCAUUAAAAAAUUGCAAAAACCACGAUCACUUUUGCACCACCCUAACAUUUUUCUUCACUUCUCUUGACGCAAAUUAUAGAUUCAAUCACCCAGCACUUACAAGCAAGCAUUUCUUUAUCUUAGGUUGACCUUAAGAACUUCUUUGUAUUUACUAACUUCCUUUAGGACUCCUCCUCUUUUGUAGUAAGACGGCAGGAUGAAAUACAAUGAAGAGGGUACCAUAUUUUAAAGAUAAGGCUGAAUACCACACACCUGGCAUGAUGAGAGGCCUAUACAGAAAAAAGAGCUUCUGAAGCUUCUCUAUGCCACACAAGGGAUGAAGGUGGCCUCCAACAACUGUGACCUCCAACCGGUGGAGCUCAUGUGUGAUAUGCCUUUUAUGUCCUUUAGCACAUUUGUUACCCACAAUAACUUUACAAGCCAAGUAUUAUUAUCCACAAUUGCUAGAAGAGGAAACCAAAGCUCCCUAAAUGCUCAAUAUCAUGCUCAUCACUCUUUCAGCUCUGUAUGGGAUUCCCAAAGUGAACCUCAUGUGUAUUUAUGAACUUGGCACUCUCGGAUACCAUGCAGCACCCCUCAUUUUCUGUGAGCUCUGCUUGCUGAGGUGAAGACUCUGCUGCAAAGGGGCCCCUGGUCCUGUGAAGCUGGUCCCCCUGCUGUGCCUAUUCUAAGGAAUGGCCAUUGCUGAUGACAUUUGCUGGUCUGUGCCCAGGCAUGGUUUCCUGGCGCUGCAGAAGCCACUGGCUGGUAAUCUGCCUAUGGGUGUCCACAAACCCUCAAGUACAGAAAUUUGCCAUCCUUCAGUUUGACAGGCAUUUUAAUGGAAUGCUCUUUCAGUGUAUCUCCCUAGCAUUCAGGUACGCGUUUCAGGGGCCAGGCUGGAGGGUGAUCUAAGUGACAGGCAUGGUACAAUGGUAAAUUUUGCCCAUACCCUCAACACUGAUCCUCUACUUCUAGGCCAUACUAAGGUGGCUUUUAAAAAUUAAUAUAUGAUAAUAGUACCUAUUUAUGGGAUACAUGUGAUAUAUGGAUACAUGCAUAUAAUGGGUAAUGAUCAAAGCAGGGUAUUUAGGAUAUGCACCACCUCAAACAUUUAUCAUUUCUUUGUGUUGGGAACAUCCCAAAUAUUCUUUUCUAGCCCUUUUGAAAUACACAAUACAUUGUUGUUAACUAUGGUCACCUGCUGUCCUAUUGACCAUUAGAACUUAUUCCUUCCAGCUAACUGUAUGUUUAUAGCCAUUAGCCAACCCCUCUUUAUCCCACAUCCCAGCCCUCCACACACACACACACACACACACACACACACACACACACACACACACACACACACACACCCUUCCCAGCCUCAGGUAGCCGUCAUUAUACUCUCUACCUCCAUGAGAUCAAAUUUUUUAGCUUCCACGUGAGUGAGAACAUGCAAUACUUGUCUUUCGGUGCCUGGCUUAUUUUUAACAUAAUGUCCCCCAUGCUCAUCCAUGUUGCCGAAAAUGGCAGGAUUUUAUUAUUUUUAUAUCUGUUCUCUUAUUAAUAGUAUAACUUCUUACAACUUAGAUUUAAGCAGAGGCCCUUCUACAUAUAAUUGGAAUUUUAUAUGUCCACAUUUAAAAAGAGUUACCUUGGGAUUGAUAACAUACUUCUUUUGCUCCUAAGUAAAAAUUUUUAUUACUAUAAAAUGUUUCACAAAUGUAUCAAAAAUACUACAAUUAAAACUACUGCUCUGAUCAACACACUUUCGUGCUCUUUUGUCUGGUAUAGUGAAAGGUCGGUCCUAGAAGACCUGGAUUCAUUCUUCUCAGCCACUUAAUUUAAUCCUGGAUGAUCACAUACUGUUUAUACUUGGGAUUCCUUAUCCACAAAGUGAGGGAUCUCUCACAGUACCAAGGAACCCCUCUGGCCCCCUUCAGUUCUAAAAUUCUUUUCUUUUCUUUUUCUUUUUCCUUUUUGAGACAGAGUCUUGCUUUGUUGCCCAGGCUGGAGUACAGUGGUGCUAUCUCAGCUCACUGCAACGUCCGCCUCUCGGGUUCAAACAAUUCUUGUGCCUCAGCCUCCUAAGUAGCUGGGAUCAUGGCCGCACGCCACUAGGCCCAGCUAAUUUUUUUGUAUUUGUAGUAGAGACAGGGUUUCGCCAUGUUGGCCAGGCUGGUCUCGAAAUCCUGGCCUCAAGUGAUCCAUUUGCUUCAUCCUUCCAAGGUGCUGGGAUUACAGGCAUGAGCCAUUGAGCCUGGCCAGUUCUAAAAUUCUAUGACACAUUUAAUAUAUUAUGAGCAAGGUUCUUGAAGCGUCCAAGCCAUUCCCUUUAAAAGCUACCAUGUGACUCCCAAAGUGCAAUCUUAUGCACUGGGCUCCCAUCCAUUCUGAUAAGCAGUUUAUCUGGGCCAUUUGAAGACUGAGAUGAAAGCAAAGCGCUAGACUCAGAAAAAAGAAAUGAAAAAGGUAAAAACUCUGAAAAGACAUGUGGAAGAAAUUCAAGACAAUCCCAUAUUGCUUCAGAGAAGGAAGAAGGGAGAGAGACAGGGUGGGGGGUGGGGGAGGGAGGGAGAUUGGGGGGAAUGAGGGGGUCUUGGGGGUGGAGAGACAGAGACAGAGAGAGAGAGAGAGAGAGAGAGAGAGAGAGAUGCUUACGCCACCAUCACUGCUAGUAAAACAGCUAGCAUGUACUUGCUGCUUACCAUGUGCUAGGUGGUGAGCUAAACAUGUCACAAACCUGAGGUCAUGUAGAGAAGGCUGGUAAGGGUAAAGGAUAAGGAAAUAUACGGGAUGAUAAGCUUUUAGAACAAAAAAUAAGUUUUCUAUGUUCUAAAAGUCAUGAAUGUAUAUACAGAGAUAUGGGGAAAGACCAUGACAACUAUUCACCAAACAGUAGCUGGCUCUGGAAAGGUCACUUCUUAGUAUGUCAGGCAAAAUGGGUUUCCUCCACCCCUGGAGCUGGCACAAACAAAGGCUAAUAGAGGAAGACAUUCUCAUAACAGGAUUAUAUCCUGGAAAUGCUAGCAUGGUUGAGCUUGGCAAUAUAAAAUGGCUGACUGUCCUCCAGCUAAUCCAUCUGGUCCCCUGCCUGCUCCUGGGGAAACCGAAGAAGGGCAAGCCUGGUAUCCUGGCUGCGUCUGAUGCUCUCCUUGCCAGGAUGGGCACAGUGUUGAGUGGCUUGUACAUGAAGCGCAAGUUUUGCCAAACAGUGCAAGUUGCUAAAGUGCUGGGAUCAAAGCAGCAUUUGCUUCUGCACCAAUACUAGGUAGCCAAGUAAAUAGAUGCCACAUCUAUCAUUAUUUUCCAAAAAGAGCUGUCGCACCUGGCAGUGGCCCAAGGGCUGUGAAGCCACUCCCCCCUCCAGGAUGCAGGAAGAGGCAAUACCACAAAAGAAAGCAUGCCACAAAGUUCAGGCUCGAGUGAUAACAGCUGCACACCAGCUGCUUGCUGGCUGGUUCUAUUCAGCUUUUUUAUCUAGAGAAACAAUUGUGGAACACCCAGGGGAGAAUGUAGAAACACAGAAAAACUUAAUUUUAAAAUGAGAGAGACCUGGGAAAACAUCUAGGUCUCAGGUUUCCAAACUUGUUGGAGGAGCCCACGGAUUUAAAGAAGGUGCCAAGAACAAAAGCAUAGAGUUGCCUAGGAAGUCACUUGAAAAAGGAUUCUGGGGCUUCUUGUGGUUAAAACAAGUUAGAAAAAUUGACGACUCCCUCUUUUUCAGAUAAGAAAAUUGAGACUCAGAGGAUAAUACGGAAGAGCAAUACCCAUCUAACCCUACUGUGUGCUCAGAGAACUCACACCGUAUUGGGACAGAGAUACAAGAAUCAACACCACAGUGUGUAGACUCACACAUUAUACCUUAUAAUGGACACUGAUGGGAAAAAUAAGACAAUUUAUCAUCUUGCAAGAAUGCCAUUUUCACUUGAAAGAAACAAAGGACAAACUAUGGUCACUGAGAUUGGUUAUCUGGAAGUUUUUUGAACAUGAAUGAAGGGAGCCUGUCACUUCAACAAAAACAACUGACAUCACUUGUUGCCAAUGACAAAACUUGAGCUCUCAGGCGAAACUAAGAAAUUUGGAAAUAUGACAGUUUCUCAGGAGUUAAGGCCUUUCCAAUGAGACUGAUGAUGAUGUUAACAAAUGUAUUGUUCUUAUCAUUAUAUAAUGAAAUUGUCAAUAUUUAAAAGAUCUGCAUUACUUGGGAAACCAAUAUUUUCCAAAUGACCAACUCCUGAUAUUACAGCAUCAUACAAUGGUAAAAUGUCCUGUUAAAGUGCAAGACAGACUAGAAACAGUACUAAAGGUUCUUUUUUAUGCUUUCAGAUUCUAUAUUGCAGCUACUUUUUUAAAAAACUACCACUAGUUUUUAGUACAGUAUCAAAAAGGAGUAUCCACAAUUACUUGAAAAAAGCUAUUAAAAUGCUCCCCCCUUUUGCAAUUACAUAUCUGAGUGAGGCCAGAUUUUCUUCAUAUAUUUCAACUAAAACAACCCAGGGGCAUAGACUGAAUGCAGAGGUAGGUGUUGGAAUUCAGUUAUCUUCUAUAAGCCAGACAUUACAGAAGUUGGUAAAAAUCUAAGACAAUGAUACUCGUUUCUUUUAAUUUUAAAAAAAUUAUUUUCAUAAAAUAUGUAAUAUGUAAUGAAAUUAUUAUUCUUAAAUGAAUUAACGAUUAAAAUUUUAUUUUAAUUUCAAUGUUGUAUAUUUUGAUAGUUAACUGACAUAAAUAAAAGCCUAAUUAUUUGCAGCUAUCUAUUAUUUUUUAUUUUUUAAAUUUUUUUUGAGACUGAGUCUGGCUCUGUCCCCCAGGCUGAAGUACAGUGGCACAGUCUCAGUUCACUGCAGCCUCCACCUUCCGGGUUCAAGCAAUUCUGCUGCCUCAGCCUCCUGAGAAGCUGGGAUUACAGGUGCGUGCCACCACACCUGGCUAAUUUUUUUUUAUUUUUAGUAGAGAUGAGGUUUCACCAUGUUGGCCAGGCUGGUCUCGAACUCCUGGCCUCAGGUGAUCCACCCGCCUUGGCCUCCCAAAGUGCUGGGAUUACAGGCGUGAGCUGCCAUGCCCAGCUGUAGCUAUCUAUUUUUUAAGCACGUUAAAGGGUGCUCUGUAAGCUCUGACAAGCCAAGUUAUUAAAUAAGUGUAGUGCAGGUCCUUGAAUAACAUUGCCUCAUUCAACCUUGUUUUGUUUUAAUGCUGAUGAGAAAAAAAAAAACAAAAAAAAACUGAUGCCACUGUCUGGGUAGAGUUUGCACACCCUUCCCUUGUCUGCAUGGGUUUUCUCUGGAUAUACAUCCCCAAGCUGUGCCCAUUAGGUGAAAUGCUGUGUCUACAUAGCCUAGGGUGAAUGAGUAUGGGUGUGUCUGAGUACACCUGUGAUAGGAUGGCGUCCUGGCCAGGGAGGGUGCCCAUCUUGUGUUUUCAGCAGCCAGAAUUUGUUCUGGCUGCACACCACCCUAAACUGGAAUGAGUGGAUUGCAAAUUAUAUGAAUAAAUACAAAUUACUGUGAAAUAAAAAUGUGUAAUGUAGACGACAAUUAUACAGAUGCAGGACAAUAAAUGAUGUGGGACAGAAGCGCUCAGCAAGCUCCCCACAUUUGUUAUUGCUUGUUUUUGAACUGCAUGGUGGUGGAAGGUACUCCUGACAAUUUUCGCUUCGUAAACGUUUACUCGUUGAUUAAAUUCACCACCACUAUGAGUACCAUCACUCAUGGGUUCACCAAAAAUUGAGUAAAUCAUCAUCUUACUUGUUUUUAUUAAUAUUUAUUAAAUGUAUGCAUACUUCACAUUUAUUUCAAUAUUUAAUAUUAGAAGUAUUUUGGUCCUUACUUAGAAGUUUGGUGAUAUUUUUGUGACCAGAAACAUGCCAUAGGAACUUGACUCUUGUUUAUGUUGUAAGGCACAAUAACAAACAUAAAAAGGCAUGCUCAUUUCUACUUGCCAACAUAAUUUCACAAAGCUCUUGAUUCAGUGAUGACAUACAGCUCUGUAAAAAAUACUUUAAAGACAAAACAAAAUAAAACACAUGGCCCCACCACAACUCUUGCCUCAGUCACUACAUUUCUUAAAAGAUCAAUGAUCCUAGUCCUUGUCUUUUCCUAUACAUAAAAUAACAUUUGACAAAAUUAAUGAUUAUACUUCUAUAACCUAUCACCAAAUAUACUCUUACACUGAAACUUAGAUAUAAUUUUACACAUAUUAAAUCUUCACCACCUACAUGUAAACCAUAAACUAAAAUACUGCCUUAAAACAGCCUGACAGAAUUGCUUCUGGGUUAUAAGCCUCAGUCUAUAGUCCUCAGUAAGACUUCCAAAUAGAACUAACUUUAAUUAUUUAAAAGCUUAAAUUUUUUUCCUUCAGUCAACAAUAUCAAUUUGCCUAUGGUAAAAUUAGCUUCAUUGUACAUCUUCUUCCUGAACCUAUUGAAGACACUGAGCAAGGACUCAUAGUAUUGUUACGUACUUUACCUUUGUAUAAUUCAUUCUGGCAUUCGAUGGUAUGUAACUACAAUAUUUAUAAGUGAAUUUCUUAUAAUAGUCCUGAUAAGUAUACUGUAAAAUUGUCUUUGAAGGUUAAUAAAAUAAGCAUGAUUGAUAUUUUUCUUGUUACUUCAAAUAAUUUCCCCCCACAGGUAUUAGCAAUUCUUCUAAUUAAAAAUACAAGAAAUGGGCCGGGCAUGGUGGCUCACGCCUGUAAUCCCAGUACUUUGGGAGGCUGAGGUGGGUGGAUCACCUGAGGUCAAGAGUUCGAGACCAGCCUGGCCAACAAGGCAAAACCCCGUCUCUGCUAAAAAUACAAAAACUAGCUGGGCGUGGUGGCGGGCACCUGGGAUCCCAGCUACUGGAGAGGAUGAGGUGGUAAAAUCACUUGAACCCAGGAGGCAGAGGUUGCAGUGAGCUGAGAUCGUGCCACUGCAUUCCAGCCUGGGCGACAGAGGGAGACGCUCUCUCUCAAAAACAAAACAAAAAACAAAACCAAGUAAUGGAAAUAAGAAAUAAGGAGGAUAAUUCAAGAGGAGAAUGAGUUUAAUAUAACUCAGAAUAAAGUUUGGACAAAUAUACACCAAAUUCUGAAACGCCCUCAGUGGCCACCAACUGGCCAAAAGGUAGAACUAGAGAAAUAGCAGGAUUGGAUCUUUUUUCUCCACUCCCGGUAUUUGUUAUUAAAAAAAAAAAAAGCGGGAGGAGGGAGAAGAGAGAAAGAGUUAUAAAUGCAUCCAUGAAUGAUUACUGUACUACCACCAACAAUAUUCAGAUCUGCCAUGAUGGAGCCUGUGAACCUGCAUGUAACCCCCUCCACUAAUCUAACAACUAUCUUCAUCUUAGGACAAAGUCUUCCUAUCUAUUUGUCCCAUUUCAUCAAUCUGUUCCAAUUCUUCCCCUUAAUCCUAUAAAUCCAUCUCUGUUAUUUUCAUUGUGUCACACCCUCCUCCCAUAACAUUACCUCAAUUAACCCCUUACAGCAGUGAUUUUUAAUCAGGGGUGAUUUUGCCCCCCAGGGGGCAUGUGGCAACAUCUGGAGAACUGGUUGUCACAACUAGGGAGGUGGAAGCGGAUGUGUGUGUUCCUGACAUCUAGUGGGUAGAUGCCACAGAUGCUGCUAAACAUCCUACAAUGUACAGGACAAAGAACUGUCAACAAAGAAUUAUCUGGCCCAAAUGUCAAGUGCCGAGAUUGUGAAACCCUGUCUUAGGAGGCAAGAAAAAAUUCUGCAAUAAUGACACACUAAACCUUUGCCUUUUACCUUUUUCUAACUUUCCCUGUAAAAAGAAGUUAAUGUCCUGUAGCAAACUGGAACACAACCUCUUGGCUGUUAGCAUCCCUAACAAGGCAAUGGGUGUAUAUGCCAGAAUUUGAGUCCCAGGAUCUCCAUCUUCGAGUUACGUGACCUGCAAGUUUUCUAGUUCUCUGAGCCUCACUUUCAUCAUCCAAAAAUAUAGUGAAAUUGAAAAUAUACUAUCUCAGUAUGGUUAUAAGCACAGGAGAUAGUACAUUUAAAAACCCAGCAUACUGCUAGGCAUAUAGGUGUAACACAGGGACAGUGAUGCUGCUGAUCCUUACUGUCACUGACUGAGGCCCCCCCAUCUCCAUCAGCUGCUGCAACAGAGAGAUAAGAAAAGCAGCAGUCACAGCAACAGAGUUAAUUAUGUGGAAGUGGAAGACACAGCUUAGACCUCAUUUGAAGUGAUCGAGAAGUAUUCCUGAAAACCAUAUAAACAAGUGUAAAUAAGUACACUAGGGCUGAACCCUUUCUGGGCCACUCUAUGUCUACUGGUGCACACCCUUAGCACACUGUUAAUUCCAGCCCUUCCACUCAUCAGCCUCAACAUCUGGCAUAUGACCCUGGAGCCAGAGACUAGUACCACAAUGACAGAAGAUAUGAGGUCAAGAACCAACCAAACUCUAGUCUAGGUUACAUUAUUGUCUGCCCAGAAGAUAGAUAGAUUCUUCUUUGUAUUUGAUUUAAAUAAGAAUACCCAAGGCUGCUUUCUUAAGUAGUUGUGUUUACACAGACUUCAAUAGAAGCUUUCAAGAGAGUUUCUCUGUCCUCCUUUAAUACCCCUUCCCCAACUCAAUCUCACUGGGAGAAGAAAUCAGCCUUAAAUAUCUUCCUUGGAUGGGGACCCACUCCAGCAGGCCUGCAGCUUACCACGUGUGGACUCUGGAGGGAGCUCCUGCCUCACAAAAGUUGAAGUACAUCCUUCUACUGAAGACUACAACACUUUCCUUUAAAGUGACACUUGUGAAUCUCCAGGGUCUUAAGAAUGUGGAGUUUAGAUUCUCAAAUCUUUCUCUAGAGCCCUUAUCAUGGUUUUAGUUCGCUCACUGGGCCUUUCUACUCUGGAGAAUGCACGAAUAUUUUCCAUUUGAUUAAAAUGGCAGGGUUCAUUCUAAAAUAAGUCACCAGGCUAUUAAAAAUGUGAUUUACCUCCUAUACAAUAGCUACAUUUUGAAGAGUGGAAUCUCCCCUAGGAUUCAGUGAAGAGGGAAGCAAAGCUACAGGUCAUUUCCCAGGGACAGACUAAAAGUUUACUGAAUGUAAUUAAACUAUAUUAUUUAUAUAAUUUUAACUCAUGUAAUUAGCUUGGCUUUGGUGCUAAGCCCUUUUUCCUUCUUAGCACUUUCAACUUGUAUCUUGCAAAAAUGAUGAAAGACUAAAUCUAUUUAUGAUAUACCAAGUGUACCUUUUACAUAUUCAGCUUAAAAUGAGCAAAGAUAAUUAACUUAUUUAUAAGUGCAUUCAAGAAGUUAUAUAACAAUUAUUCAACCAUUAUUCAUAUUACUACUUCUACAAUCCUUUCUGAAGAAAAAAAAAUUGGUGCUUAUGAUCUUGCUUUACAGCUCUCUCCAAUGACUUGCCUUAACCAUGGGGAAACUGUCACAAAUGAUUCCUAUAGAUCAAGGAGUUGAAGUCAAUUUUAAACUCAGAAUGAGAGGAAGGAAGCCUCCCCUAACUGCCUCUAGCCUGGUUCAACUACUUUUAAAGAUUGCCUUCUCUCCAACGCAGGUCCUUUUACCAGAUAUUCCAGAGGUAAAGAUCUACAUGUGUAAAUGUAAAGAGUGAAGUCAUCUGGAGUUUUAUAGCCGACUAUGGCAAAAUUGAGUCCUGGCUCUAAACUGGGCCAAGUUUCUCCCCAUUGUGGCCAUAUGUAAUCCUUGCUGUCUAUUGAGAGUCGUCUAUUUUUCAGAAUAGAUGCUCUGCUUCUACAAUAAAUGGAGAGGUAGGGGAUAUUCCUUCUAUAUAAGUGUUGGUUUAUGCUUGGUUUACCAGCUAGACAGUGUCAUGUAAAUUAUUAAUCUAAAAUAUAGAAAAUAUCUCCCAUUCUUCCUUUUAUAUUAUGGCUAUAUUAUGCAAAGCAGUCAUAGCAUAGCCCUAAGCCCAGCAGUCUGGCUAUGCCUACCUUUUAGGUGCAAUUAUAGGCAUUUCUGCCUCGUAUAUGUAGUCCUAGCAAUCUCUGUUUUGCAAGGGUAUGCGAAAGAAAGAAACAAAGAAAGUAACAAAGAAAGAAAGAAAGACUUCAGAAAAAAAAUACGGGAAGGAAGGAAGGGAGGGAGGGAGGGAGAGAGGGAGGGCAAUAGGACUUAAAA